ensembl:lncRNA
CCCGCCGGGGACGCAGCAGCGGGAACGCAGCGUUUGUACGCACGAACUCCGUGAAGCUGAGGGGCAAGUUUCAUAUUUUAAUCACGAGCUGAUUUCUGCAACAGCACAUCUGCUGGAAUGUGAACAUACACAUCUCUGUGUGUGUGCCAAAAAACUCAGCUACACAGAACUGGCCCUGUGCCACUAACAUUGCUGCAGUCAGACAGCAACCAACUUGAAUUCCUGCUCCUCACAGCCGGAAUGUUGUCCAAAAGGCAAAGAUGCACCAAUGUCUGUUUGAGCCCGGGGUACAGCAGGAACUGGGGAUAAUGAGACAUGUGAGCAGAAGAAGGGUGGGAGGAAUAAAAAAGUGAUUUAAUGGUGCAUGACGUGAAUGGAGAAAAAUACAGUCUAAGAAUAAAUUGCUAAAGAAGAAUAGAAAGCAGAGACACUCAUCUCCCUCCAGCAACGAUGAAAUCUAAGGAUAACAGGAAAUAAAGCAAUUAAGGUCAAGACUGGUAUCAAGCUUCUGUUCAGAUCAGCAUGCUCAUCAGAAUCCAAGCUGCUAAACGAGGGAGAGGGCAGUGAGCAAACAACUGCAUGGUGUUCAGCUGCCUGCCAGUUAAAGCACAGCAAUAAUAGCAGGGGGAAAAGAAGUACCUGACCUGAGAAAGACCCAACUAUCGAUGGCAGAAGGGGAAGUGAAGAUGGCAGAAGUGUGGGAAACCUCACAGCCAGUCAAAGCCAACAACACUGAAUUAAGAUGUCGUUAUCAGCCAUCUGUUCCUGGUCCUGCUCUCAAUUUCUUCCAUCAAAGAAAUAAUUCCAGACAUGAAACACCUCAUUGGAGCAACAAUCACCUGAAACUGCCAGAGUGCUGCAAUGCAACAGUGGGCCUGGCUUGCAGGGAGCAAUUGAAGGAACUUUUUCUGAUAUGCUGGUGUCACCAUAUACAGCAGGUGAUUCAUACUGGGAAUAGAAACCAGCUCAAGAUGAGUGCCCUGCAGAAGCUGACUUGCUGCUUAUGCUACCAACACGUGCAGGUACAUGGCAUCCCAUCAGAGAGGUGCUUUGGCAGGCAGCCCCUGCCCGCCCGUCCGAGCCCCACUGCCCAGCACAGCACAGCCCGAG